CCUACGGGAGGCUGCAGUGAGGAAUAUUGGUCAAUGGACGCAAGUCUGAACCAGCCAUGCCGCGUGCAGGAAGACUGCUCUAUGAGUUGUAAACUGCUUUUGUACGAGGGUAAAUCCCGAUACGUGUACCUGGUUGCAAGUACUUUACGAAUAAGGAUCGGCUAACUCCGUGCCAGCAGCCGCGGUAAUACGGAGGAUCCAAGCGUUAUCCGGAUUUAUUGGGUUUAAAGGGAGCGUAGACGGUUUGUUAAGUUAGUGGUGAAAUCCCGGGGCUCAACCCCCAAACUGCCACUGAUACUGGCGGGCUAGAGUUUAGUUGAGGUAGGCGGAAUGCAUGGUGUAGCGGUGAAAUGCAUAGAGAUCAUACAGAACACCGAUUGCGAAGGCAGCUUACCAAACUACGACUGACAUUGAGGCACGAAAGCGUGGGGAGCAAACAGGAUUAGAUACCCCUGUAGUC
rnacentral:rRNA from 1 species